rnacentral:rRNA from 1 species
UACGGGGGGAGCAAGCGUUGUUCGGAUUUACUGGGCGUAAAGGGCGCGUAGGCGGUCAGCACAAGUCAGUUGUGAAAUCUCCGGGCUUAACUCGGAAAGGUCAACUGAUACUGUGCGACUAGAGUGCGGAAGGGGCAACUGGAAUUCUCGGUGUAGCGGUGAAAUGCGUAGAUAUCGGAAGGAACGCCGGUGGCGAAAGCGACGUGCUGGAUACCUACUGACGCUGAGGCGCGAAAGCCAGGGGAGCAAACGGG